UUUUUAUUUUUGGUCGGUUUCUCUUUCAUCAGUGGGGAUGCAUACGCAGGUGGCAUUUACGCCUCUUUUAGAGGUCGUUUGAUUUAGCCUUACACUGUGACAAAGCUCUGGGUGUACUGCUGAGGGAACAGUUCCCCUGCUGUGCCAGCUGGCUGAUUAUCUGUGGUGAUCCUGCGUAUAAAGCAUUUUUAUAAGUUCACAGACCUCUCUGCUCAAAUGUCAGGUCAACACAGAGGCCCCCCUGACCGCCUCUAAAAUAGCAUCUGCCUCCUGUCUCUCUUCAUUCCUUUUCCCUACUAUAUUUAUCUUCAGAGCACUUGUCACCACUUGACACGUUAUAUAUUUAUUUGUUUACUAUCUGUCGCUCACCUUCAAAAUGUAGUCUUCAGGAGAAAAGGAACUUGUCCUUUUCUCUGCUUUGCUUGCUUGCCCUCCCUCCCUCUUUCUUUCUUUCUUUUCUUUUUUUUUUGUUUGAGACACAGUUUCACUCUUGUUACCCAGGCUGGAGUACAAUGGCAUGAUCUUGGCUCACUGCAAGCUCUGCUUCCUGGGUUCAAGCGAUUCUCCUGCCCCAGCCUCCUGAGUAGCUGGGAUUACAGGCACCCACCACCACACUUGGCUAAUUUUUGUACUUUUAGUAGAGACGAGGUUUCACCAUGUUGGCCAGGCUGGUCUCGAACUCCUGACCUCAGGUGAUCCUCCCACCUCGGCCUCCCAAAGUGCUGGGGUUACAGGCGUGAGCCACCGCGCCCGGCCUCUUGCUAUUAUUUCCGUUGCCUGAAAUGGUCUCUGACAUGUGGUGUUUAUAGAACAAAUGAACGAAAUGAGGGAGCGAAUGAAUAAAUUCUCCCACUGCUAAUGGAGGGAGGAAGGAGCAAUCUAUACUUGAAGAAGCAGAAGGAGCAGGAAGGACUCAGGGUAUGCCAAGAUCUCCAUUUGGGCCAAAGAGCAGAGUGAAACAAAGCCUGGGUCCCAUCUGCGAAGUCCCUGAUUUGGAGCGUUUCCUGGAGGUCCGAACCUUGAAUCCCGUGGACCACAAGCCAAAAGUCCAGUCCAGCCCGCUCAUUCUUUCUACUGAUGAAGAAACUGAAGGUCCUAAAACCAGGGAUUUGUGCAGCCUCCCACAUGUGAAAGAAGUGGUUUCAACAAGUACAUCCCAGCAGACUCUGACUCCAAAGCUGGGGUAAAGCUUUCUGGGUGACGACGUUUACAACAGAACUCGAUGCUUGUCAUCUCUUUGCACUUCUGCAAGUGAAAAUGAUGAAAAUAUUCUUUUUACUGGAAUCAACCCUCGGGUAGUCAGGUUAGCAGUUCCCAAAGGUCAUAUUUACAUUUUACCCGAGUCAGUUGUCUAAAGAGAAAGUGUCUUUCAUCCCUGCCUGUGGUGAGGCUUAAGUUUACAACAGGAGUGGGGGCAUGCAGUGGACACAACCGUGAUUACGAAAGGGUGGAGAACGCAGGGGACCAGCAACCCCAUCAUCACUCGGGCAGCCUCAUGGGACUUGAUGCUCGGAGAGGCAGUUGACAUGUAUUGCAGGCACAUGGCUGAGUUCCUUCAGGACAUGGACAGAGGAGGAGGCCUCGUGACACAGACUUGUCUAUAUCAUCGAUGUCACUUUCCAGAGAGUUUAAACACGGGCUCACCUGGGCUUUGGUGUAUUCUUGCCUGCAGCCAGGAUUGAGAACUCUUGCUUUGGGAGAUUUUCAUUGUCCUUUUAUGUACAUUACUAAAAAAGAGGAGAUGGAUUGCAGAUAAUUUAAGAUGCCUGACACCACUGCCCUACAUGCAUGCACAGGCAAGCCCACACAUGUUAAAGAGUGAAAGCCCAAACCCACGUUAGCAACAAAUCUUAACAAGACGGACUUGCCGAGUGGUUUGGAUGAAAUCACCACCUUCUUCUUGGUCUGAAUGUCUCGCUUAAGUAGCCUGACCUUCACUUGGAGAGUAACUGGCUACUUCUCAGUUCUUGCUGCAUUCUCUGGCUGGAAGCUGAAGAUCGUCAGUCACCAGCCACCAGCCCACCAGCCACUAGCCCACCAGCCCACUAACCCACCAGCCACCAGCCCACCAGCCACUGGCCCACCAGCCCACCAGCCAUCAGCCCACUAGCUCACUAGCCCCAGUAGCCCACCAGCCACCAGCCCACUAGCUCACCAGCCCCAGUAGCCCACCAGCCCACCAGCUCACCAGCCACCAGCCCACCAGCCACCAGCCCCACCAGCCACCAGCCCACCAGCCACCAGCCCCACCAGCCACCAGCCC
ensembl:lncRNA